rnacentral:rRNA from 1 species
AUGGGCCCUGAUUGUAUCCCCAUUGAGGUGUGGAAAGGUCUCGGGGACAUAGCGAUAGUAUGGCUAACCAAGCUUUUCAACCUCAUUUUUCGGGCAAACAAGAUGCCAGAAGAAUGGAGACGGAGUAUAUUAGUACCAAUCUUCAAGAACAAGGGGGAUGUUCAGAGUUGUACUAAUUACCGUGGAAUUAAGCUGAUGAGCCAUACACUGAAGCUAUGGGAGAGAGUCAUUGAGCACCGCUUAAGAAGAAUGACAAGCGUGACCAAAAAUCAGUUUGGUUUCAUGCCUGGGAGGUCGACCAUGGAAGCCAUUUUCUUGGUACGACAACUUAUGGAGAGAUAUAGGGAGCAUAAGAAGGACUUGCAUAUGGUGUUCAUUGACUUGGAGAAGGCCUAUGAUAAGAUACCGCGGAAUGUCAUGUGGUGGGCCUUGGAGAAACACAAAGUCCCAGCAAAGUACAUUACCCUCAUCAAGGACAUGUACAAUAAUGUUGUGACAAGUGUUCGAACAAGUGAUGUCGACACCGAUGACUUCCCGAUUAAGAUAGGACUGCAUCAGGGGUCAGCUUUGAGCCCUUAUCUUUUUGCAUUGGUGAUGGAUGAGGUCACAAGGGGUAUACAAGGAGAUAUCCCAUGGUGUAUGCUCUUUGCGGAUGAUGUGGUGCUAGUUGACGAUAGUCGGACAGGGGUAAAUAGGAAGUUAGAGUUAUGGAGACAAACCUUGGAAUCGAAAGGGUUUAGGCUUAGUAGAACUAAAACCGAGUACAUGAUGUGCGGUUUCAGUACUACUAGCUGUGAGGAGGAGGAGGUUAGCCUUGAUGGCCAGGUGGUACCUCAGAAGGACACCUUUCGGUAUUUGGGGUCAAUGUUGCAGGAGGAUGGGGGUAUUGAUGAAGAUGUGAACCAUCGAAUCAAAGCCGGAUGGAUGAAGUGGCGCCAAGCUUCUGGCAUUCUCUGUGACAAGAGAGUGCCACAAAAGCUAAAAGGCAAGUUCUACAGGACGGCGGUUCUACCCGCAAUGUUGUAUGGCGCGGAGUGUUGGCCGACUAAAAGGCGACAUGUUCAACAGUUAGGUGUGGCGGAGAUGCGUAUGUUGAGAUGGAUGUGUGGCCACACGAGGAAGGAUCGAGUCCGGAAUGAUGAUAUACGAGAUAGAGUUGGGGUACCACCAAUUGAGGAGAAGCUUGUCCAACAUCGUUUGAGAUGGUUUGGGCAUAUUCAGCGCAGGCCUCCAGAAGCUCCAGUGCAUAGCGGACGGCUAAAGCGUGUGGAGAAUGUCAAGAGAGGGCGGGGUCGACUGAUUUUGACAUGGGAGGAGUCCGUUAAGAGAGACCUGAAGGAUUGGAGUAUCGACAAAGAGCUAGCUAUGGACAGGGGUGCGUGGAAGCUUGCUAUCCAUGUGCCAGAGCCAUGA